UUCUCAGUAGUAUAGUGGUCAGUAUCCGCGCUUGUCACGCGCGAGACCCAGGUUCAAUUCCUGGCUGGGAAG